AGUGAACGCUGGCGGUAGGCCUAACACAUGCAAGUCGAACGGCAGCACAGUAAGAUUUUGCUCUUACGGGUGGCGAGUGGCGGACGGGUGAGGAAUACAUCGGAAUCUACUUUUUCGGGGGGGAUAACGUAGGGAAACUUACGCUAAUACCGCAUACGAUCUACGGGUGAAAGCAGGGGAUCUUCGGACCUUGCGCGAUUGAAUGAGCCGAUGUCGGAUUAGCUAGUUGGUGGGGUAAAGGCCCACCAAGGCGACGAUCCGUAGCUGGUCUGAGAGGAUGAUCAGCCACACUGGAACUGAGACACGGUCCAGACUCCUACGGGAGGCAGCAGUGGGGAAUAUUGGGCAAUGGGCGCAAGCCUGAUCCAGCCAUACCGCGUGGGUGAAGAAGGCCUUCGGGUUGUAAAGCCCUUUUGUUGGGAAAGAAAAGCAGCAGGUUAAUACCCCGAUGUUCUGACGGUACCCAAAGAAUAAGCACCGGCUAACUUCGUG
rnacentral:rRNA from 1 species